AUUGAACGCUGGCGGCAUGCUUUACACAUGCAAGUCGAACGGCAGCACGGACUUCGGUCUGGUGGCGAGUGGCGAACGGGUGAGUAAUACAUCGGAACGUACCCAGUAAUGGGGGAUAACUAUCCGAAAGGAUAGCUAAUACCGCAUACGCCCUACGGGGGAAAGAGGGGGAUCGCAAGACCUCUUGUUAUUGGAGUGGCCGAUGGCUGAGUGGCUAGUUGGUGAGGUAAAGGCUCACCAAGGGGACGUUCAGGAGCGGGUCUUAGAGGACGAUCCGCCACACUGGGACUGAGACACGGUCCAGACUCCCACGGGAGGCAGCAGUGGGGGAUCUUGGACAAUGGGCGCAAGCCUGAUCCAGCAAUGCCGCGUGCGUGAAGAAGGCCUUCGGGUUGUAAAGCGCUUUUGUCAGGGAGCAAAUCCUUGUGGCUAAUACCCACCGGGGAUGAGAGUACCUGAAGAAUAAGGACCGGCUAACUACGUGCCAGCCGCCGCCGUAAGA
rnacentral:rRNA from 1 species